AAAAAUCUGUGUGGCAAUACGAAGACGUGACGCGGACCGAAAUAAAGUAGGGAAGCAUGUGAGCCAUGUGCCAAGAAAAGCCGCUAUAGAUCAUACCGUACCCGUACCGUAAACCGACACAGGUAGAUGAGGAGAGAAUCCUAAGGCCGACGGGAGAAGCAUUGUUAAGGAACUCGGCAAAAUGACCCCGUAACUUCGGGAGAAGGGGUGCCCACGCGAGUGGGCCGCAGAGAAUAGGCUCAAGCAACUGUUUAGCAAAAACACAGGUCUAUGCGAAACCGAAAGGUGAGGUAUAUGGGCUGACGCCUGCCCGGUGCUGGAAGGUUAAGAGGAGGAGUCAGGCAACGAAGCUCCGAAUUUAAGCCCCAGUAAACGGCGGCCGUAACAAUAACGGUCCUAAGGUAGCGAAAUUCCUUGUCGGGUAAGUUCCGACCCGCACGAAAGGCGUAAUGAUUUGAGCACUGUCUCGACAAUGCACCCGGUGAAAUUGAAGUACCAGUGAAGAUGCUGGUUACCUGCGCCAGGACGGAAAGACCCCAUGGAGCUUUACUCCAGUUUGAUACUGGGAUUCGAUACUGAAUGUACAGGAUAGGUGGGAGGCUGAGAAGCGUGGACGCCAGUCUGCGGUGAGCCGCUGUUGGGAUACCACCCUUUGAGUAUUGGAUUUCUAACCUGCGCCCGUGACCCGGGCGGGGGACAAUGUCUGACGGGGAGUUUGACUGGGGCGGUCGCCUCCGAAAGGGUAUCGGAGGCGCUCAAAGGUUCCCUCAGAAUGGUUGGAAACCAUUCGCAGAGUGCAAAGGCAGAAGGGAGCUUGACUGUGACACCGACGGGUGGAGCAGGUACGAAAGUAGGACUUAGUGAUCCGGUGGUAUGAAAGUGGGAUUGCCAUCGCUCAACGGAUAAAAGCUACCCUGGGGAUAACAGGCUUAUCACUCCCAAGAGUUUACAUCGACGGAGUGGUUUGGCACCUCGAUGUCGGCUCAUCGCAUCCUGGGGCUGUAGCAGGUCCCAAGGGUUGGGCUGUUCGCCCAUUAAAGCGGUACGCGAGCUGGGUUCAGAACGUCGUGAGACUGUUCGGUCCCUAUCCGGCGCAGGCGUAGGAUAUUUGAGAGGAGCUGUCCUUAGUACGAGAGGACCGGGAUGGACAGACCGCUGGUGUAUCUGUUGGUGACCAACACCAUGGCAGAGUAGCCAAGUCUGGCAGGGAUAAACGCUGAAGGCAUCUAAGCGUGAAGCCCCCCUCAAGAUGAGAUAUCCCAAUAAGUAAGACCCCUUAGAGAGUAUGAGGUAGAUAGGCUUAAGGUGUAAGCAUAGUAAUAUGUUCAGCUGAUAAGUACUAAUAGGUCGAGGGCUUACC
rnacentral:rRNA from 1 species